rnacentral:lncRNA from 1 species
GUAGAAGUAGAAAAGAGAAUAAAAAUUAACAUAAAAAUAAAAGUAGAAGUAGACAAGAUAAUAAAAACCGAGAACUUACAAUAUAAAAACAAAACAGAGUAGGAGGAGGAGUGGAGGAGAUGGGGGCCGGCCGGAGAGAGGCAGACAGCAGUGCUAGGGCAGAAAGCACAAGUGUUCGCAACGCUAGGGCAGAAAGCAGAAGAGGAAGUGUUCGCAGCAGCGCUGGGGCAGAAAGUAGAAGAGAAAGUGUUACUCUUAACCUCGAAAUUGAAAUGGAAUCCUAAAAGUGAAAUGAGAAGCAGCGCUAGGGCAGAAAGUAGAAGAGAAAGUGUUACUCUUAACCUCUAAAUUGAAAUGGAACCCUGAAAGUGAAAUGAGAAGUGGCAGAUUUUGCAGUGAAAUGAGAAUGAAACAACUUUUCACUCUUCAGCCUUUAGACAUUCUUUUGUGCAAAAACCUGCAUAAAAAAAUUGAAAUUAGAAUAAGUUAUUCUACCCUAGCUCCAUGAUAAAAAAUCAUAAAAAUAAAAUGUAAUUAAAUUGCAGUUAGGUGUUGUUUGGUGUACUAGACUACUAGUUUACCUAACAUCAUUGCUAAGUUGCUAAAUAGAAACAACUUCUAUCCUUUUUAACCGGUUAACAGAACCGAGCCAUUCAAAUUAACCAAACUGCAUAAAUCAUGUGACA